UUGUGUUGAGUCAUGGAGUUUACAGCAAUCCCUCACACAGAGCAUGCAUGUAGUAACCGUGGAGAUGAAGAACUCCCCUCUACCAGGAAGAAACCUCCAGCAGAACCAGAACUGGGCUCAGUACCAGCAGCCAUCUGCCAUGACUGACUGGAGCAGAGAUGACAGAGCAGACGCACAACAGAGGGAGAGUUUCAUGUUUCCCGCAGCAGCUUGACCCAAUCAGACGCCGGUACAGUCAGUAACGAGCCAAAUGGGUUGGCGUCAUGUCGCUACAACUCGCUCAUCUGGAGUGCCGCUGCUGUGGGAGAUUUGAGAUCAAACAGCCUAACGACGUCCUCCUCAGGUUGAGUCACUACAUCACACUGAGCCGAUGGAGGCUGGAAGAGGGGAGACGCAGCAAGCUUCUCCUGAUGGGCAGAUCCGAGAGGAGAAAACGAGGAUUUAACUCCACCAUCCUGAUGUGAAGCUGCUUUCAGACUCAGAUGAACGGCUAAACUACAUCUGAAUGAGUCCUGGUUCCCUCCAUCCAUCCAUGCAUCCUAGUUCCUCCCAUUUAUCCGUCCAUCCCGUUUCCCUCUGUCCAACUUAGUUUCCUUCAGCUCAGGGAGUUGCGCGACCAUCUAGAUUUUUUUUUUUUUUACAAGGUUUUACAAUCUGUUAAAAAUUAAAACCAAAACCACACCAAUUCCUUUUUUUUUUUUCUUGGUGUGAAACAUGUUUCAAUUGAACUUGGAUGUUGAGAAAUGCGCUGCUUAUAAGAUCUUGAUGUCAACAUCUGGGCUUUCCAAAACAUAACAGUCUUGGUGUAUGCAAAUUUCUGAAUUUGAAAAAGUCAGGAAAUUCUCUCAUUAUUCUGGUAUUUAGAAAAUGGAAAUAACUGGGCUAAAGCAGGAACAGCUUAUUCUGGAUAAACCAUAUGACGAU